rnacentral:tRNA from 1 species
GCCGGAGUAACUUAAUGGUAAAGUAGGUGCCUGAAGAGCAUCAAAAGGCAGUUCGAUUCUGCCCUCCGGCA